rnacentral:snRNA from 1 species
UUGCUUUAGCAGCACAUAUCCUAAAAUUGGAAUAGUACAGAGAAGAUUAGUAUGGCUCCUGUGUAAGGAUGGUGUGCCAAUUCAUGACACGCCCUAUAUUAAA